GACGUAGGGCGCGAGCGUUGUCCCGAUUUAUUGGGCGUAAAGAGCUCGUAGGCGGCUUGUCGCGUCGUCUGUGAAAUCCCGCGGCUCAACUGCGGGCUGGCAGUCGAUACGGGCAGGCUGGAGUUCGGUAGGGGAGACUGGAAUUCCUGGUGUAGCGGUGAAAUGCGCAGAUAUCAGGAGGAACACCGGUGGCGAAGGCGGGUCUCUGGGCCGAUACUGACGCUGAGGAGCGAAAGCGUGGGGAGCGAACAGG
rnacentral:rRNA from 1 species